rnacentral:rRNA from 1 species
UUUUUAUCAAAAGAUAAAAAGGGAAAGAUUUAUUGGUAAGAGAUUAGCCUGUAUUGUAUCAGUUAGUUGGUGGGGUAAUGGCCUACCAAGACGAUGACGCAUAACUGGUUUGAGAGGAUGAUCAGUCACACUGGAACUGAGACACGGUCCAGACUCCUACGGGAGGCAGCAGUGGGGAAUAUUGCACAAUGGACGAAAGUCUGAUGCAGCAACGCCGCGUGGAGGAUGACACAUUUCGGUGCGUAAACUCCUUUUAUAUAAGAAGAUAAUGACGGUAUUAUAUGAAUAAGCACCGGCUAACUCCGUGCCAGCAGCCGCGGUAAUACGGAGGGUGCAAGCGUUACUCGGAAUCACUGGGCGUAAAGAGCGUGUAGGCGGAUUGAUAAGUUUGAAGUGAAAUCCUAUAGCUUAACUAUAGAACUGCUUUGAAAACUGUUAAUCUAGAAUGUGGGAGAGGUAGAUGGAAUUUCUGGUGUAGGGGUAAAAUCCGUAGAGAUCAGAAGGAAUACCGAUUGCGAAGGCGAUCUACUGGAACAAUAUUGACGCUGAGACGCGAAAGCGUGGGGAGCAAACAGGAUUAGAUACCCUGGUAGUCCACGCCCUAAACGAUGUACACUAGUUGUUGUGAGGCUCGACCUUGCAGUAAUGCAGUUAACACAUUAAGUGUACCGCCUGGGGAGUACGGUCGCAAGAUUAAAACUCAAAGGAAUAGACGGGGACCCGCACAAGCGGUGGAGCAUGUGGUUUAAUUCGACGAUACACGAAGAACCUUACCUGGACUUGACAUAGUAAGAAUGAUUUAGAGAUAGAUUAGUGUCUGCUUGCAGAAACUUGCAUACAGGUGCUGCACGGCUGUCGUCAGCUCGUGUCGUGAGAUGUUGGGUUAAGUCCCGCAACGAGCGCAACCCUCGUCCUUAGUUGCUAACAGUUCGGCUGAGAACUCUAAGGAGACUGCCUACGCAAGUAGGAGGAAGGUGAGGAUGACGUCAAGUCAUCAUGGCCCUUACGUCCAGGGCUACACACGUGCUACAAUGGGGUAUACAAAGAGCAGCAAUACGGUGACGUGGAGCAAAUCUCAAAAAUGCCUCCCAGUUCGGAUUGUAGUCUGCAACUCGACUACAUGAAGUUGGAAUCGCUAGUAAUC